AUCCCAUGGUGAGGACAAGCUCUUGUAUACCAUUUCAUAUGCUCUCAUGCAUCAUACAAACUCUCUUCUUCGCCUUGCUCAAAUCUAGUUAUAUUGUUCCUUAUCUU
rfam:Arabis alpina cultivar Pajares Aa.chr6_contig_2527, whole genome shotgun sequence.